GAGACUCUGUGCGCGUGCAUAUCAAUAAGCGGAGGAAAAGAAACUAACAAGGAUUCCCUAGUAACGGCGAGUGAAGCGGGAAGAGCUCAAAUUUGAAAUCUUAAAGGUUUUCCCUUGACGAAUUGUAGUUUAAAGAAGUGUUUUCUGUUGAAGUUUCGGUAAAAGUUCUUUGGAAUAGGACAUCAUAGAGGGUGAGAAUCCCGUAUUUGACCAUUACUUUUCAGCUGUGUGAUACACUUUCAAAGAGUCGGAUUGUUUGGGAAUGCAGUCCAAAAUGGGUGGUAAAUUUCAUCUAAAGCUAAAUAUUGGCGAGAGACCGAUAGCGAACAAGUACCGUGAGGGAAAGAUGAAAAGAACUUUGAAAAGAGAGUUAAACAGUACGUGAAAUUGUCAAAAGGGAAGCGUUUGACACCAGUGUUGUUUAGUUGAAAAUCAAUUCAAUAAUUUUUGAUUCUAAGUAGUAUUGACUUCAUCAGCUUGCUGCUUUCUUCUCAGGAAAUUAUUGAAUGCACUUUUCAGUUAACAAGUCAACAUCAAUUUCUUUUGUUGUAAAAGGGUAAGAGGAAGGUGGCUUACGCUUCGGCGUCAAGUGUUUAUAGCCUUUUAUCUCUGCAAUCGGAGAGAUUGAGGUCUGCAGCGUAGAUCCUUCGGGGUUAGAUACAUUGGUGCUAAGCUAUAGCCUUGUAUAGACAACUUGUUGACUAUGCUCAGUCAUGUAGCUUACUCGCUGAUGCUAUUUUACCUACGCUUAGGAUGUUGACAGCAGUAUAGACUGU
rnacentral:rRNA from 1 species